rnacentral:lncRNA from 10 species
CUCUAGGGAGCGCCACACAGUGGGUGCAGUUAGACAUCUGGGAGGAAAAGCCAAGAGACAACUGGAAGUCUCUGUUCACCACCACUGCCACAGCUUGAGAAUAAUUGUCCCAUUGGGGCUGCUCUGCAAAGUCACUGAGGACAUCCGUGCAGUGUUUACUAUUAUCAGUUAACUGAGUGAUUUUUGGCAAGUUUCUUCAUCUUUACCCAGUGCCUUCACAUUGAGUAAUCUCUGCCACUCUGUACCUUUCAUAAACUAUGAUUUAGUCUGAGGUUUUCUAGCUAGGUCAGGCUCUAUAGGCAAAUAUAUCUCAAUAUAUAUGCAAAUAAACACUUAGAAGAUCAAAAGAACCUAAACUGUGUUUUUAUCAAGUUUCAUCUAGAUUCCCUGGUGCUGUAGUUGACAGUCAUAGCAUAAGAUGAUAGACUUGUGCCUGUCAUAUAAUUUGCACUUUUAAAAUAUGAUUAAAUUAA